rfam:Zea mays cultivar B73 chromosome 10, whole genome shotgun sequence.
GCACUUGAUGAUGAAGAACUCAUCUCCUUCAUCAUCACCGGCCUCGAUCUCGACUACAAUCCGGUCAUCUCCGCCACUCUUGGACGUGCUGAUCCGAUCAGCGUCAUCGAGUUCACAUCACAACUGCUCGCCUUUGAAC